GGGGGGGGGGGGGGGGGGGCCGGAUGCGUGGAGGGCGGGCGCACAGAGGAGGGGCUUGCUCCUCUGACGUUAGCGGCGGCCGGGUGAGGCACACGUGGAUAACCUACCUAUAAGACUGGGAUAACUUCGGGAAACAGGGGCUAAUACCGGAUAAUAUAUUGAACCGCAUUGUUCCAUAGUGAAAGCCGGUUUUGCUGUCACGUAUCGCUGUAUCCGCUCCGCAUUAGCUAGUUGGCAAGGGAACGGCUUACCAAGGCAACGAUGCGUAGCCGACAUGAGAGGGUGAUCGGCCACACUGGAACUGAGACACGGUCCAGACUCCUACGGGAGGCAGCAGUAGGGAAUCUUACGCAAUGGGCGAAAGCCUGACGGAGCAACGCCGCGUGAGUGAUGAAGGUCUUCGGAUCGUAAAACUCUGUUAUUAGGGAAGAACAAAUGUGUAAGUAACUAUGCACGUCUUGACGGUACCUAAUCAGAAAGCCACGGCUAACUACGUG
rnacentral:rRNA from 1 species